rnacentral:rRNA from 1 species
UGACAGUACUCCUACGGGGAGGCAGCAUGGGGGGAAUAUUGCACAAUGGGCGCAAGCCUGAUGCAGCCAUGCCGCGUGUGUGAAGAAGGCCUUCGGGUUGUUAAAGCACUUUCAGUCGUGAGGAAGGUAGUGUAGUUAAUAGCUGCAUUAUUUGACGUUAGCGACAGAAGAAGCACCGGCUAACUCCGUGCCAGCAGCCGCGGUAAUACGGAGGGUGCGAGCGUUAAUCGGAAUUACUGGGCGUAAAGCGCAUGCAGGUGGUUUGUUAAGUUCAGAUGUGAAAGACCCGGGGCUCAACCUCGGAAUAGCAUUUGAAACUGGCAGACUAGAGUACUGUAGAGGGGGGUAGGAAUUUCAGGUGUAGCGGUGAAAUAGCGUAGAGAUCUGAAGGAAUACCGGUGGCGAAGGCGGCCCCCUCGGACAGAUACUGACACUCAGAUGCGAAAGCGUGGGGAGCAAACAGGAUUAGAUACCCCUGGUAG